GACGGAGGAUGCAAGUGUUAUCCGGAAUCACUGGGCGUAAAGCGUCUGUAGGUGGUUUAAAAAGUCCACUGUUAAAGAUUAAAGCUUAACUUCAAAAAUGCCGUGGAAACUUUUAAACUUGAGUAUGAUAGGGGUAGAGGGAAUUUCCAGUGGAGCGGUGAAAUGCGUAGAUAUUGGAAAGACCACCAAUGGCGAAGGCACUCUACUGGGCCGACACUGACACUGAGAGACGAAAGCUAGGGGAGCGAAUGGG
rnacentral:rRNA from 1 species